CCGUGUACCCAAAACCGCAUCAGGUCUUCAACUGUUUUUUAAAAAAGCUUCUGGUCGAGAGGACAAAG
rnacentral:rRNA from 11 species